CACAUAACUACCCCUGUGUGUGGUGUGUGUGUGUAGACUACCAGUUGGCUCAAAAAACAAAGCGAUUUUCAUGAGCAAUAGGAUGGGGAGGUAAAAAAUGUAACUGACAGAAGACAACAGAGAGCAAUGCAAAAUACAACACACAUGGCUACCUAACAGCAGCAAUAAUUUUAAAAGAGGAUCUUAUACGAAAGGCAGGCAUUCAACAGGAAGGUAUAUGCUUCUCCUCCCAAGCAGGGCAAAGCGGUAAUGGGGAAAGUUGCACCCAGAAAAGGCACAGAAUAUCUGUCAGAAAAAGACUGUGUCCCUGAAUAAUAGUGACUAAAAGAUAGUUAAGGGCCUGGUUCAUAUGCACAACCCUCAUCAGUUAAGUAUGAGUGGGAAAGCUUUACACCAUUCAAGUGGAAAUGAUGUUGCUCUUUGUCAAUUUCCCAGUGUUAUUUUUAGACACUGCUAAUACACCUGCAACGUGUAUUGCAAAACCCAUUCCUAACUGCAGCAAUACAGCCAUCACCACAUUCCCAGCAGGUUGAAUGUAGGAUUAUCUAAAUUGUCAAACUGCUUUUAGACAUGACAUACAGUCCUAUUUCCAUGAGUAAUCCCAUGAUGAGUAGUGCUUUGUGUUUAUGAAGCAGGAGCUGUACAUAAAACAAUUAUGCACUAGUAAUGUGUUAUCCUGUUUCGACUGUGCUGGUCUGACUAAUAUUGUUCACACUAUCAAUCCACUGAACUUUGCUUGUAAAAGUAGAUCAAUGCUGAUUUGGUAGAUUCCAGGCUAAUCCAGCAGGGUUGGCAACCCUAUGUAUCUCCUCCUUAAAGAUGACAAUAGGACAUAUAAGUCAUGCAUCUCUUUCUCUGUGCCAUAGAAAAAGUCUCAGUAAAUGACAGAGUGAGUGACUCUAAGGCUAAGAUGUGUAUAGUUGUUUUUUUUAAUAGAUCCAGUAUAAAGACUGAAAUGGUCAAAUACAUGACUCUUAUCUGUGCAGCUA